UACGAAGGGGGCGAGCGUUGUUCGGAUUUACUGGGCGUAAAGGGUGCGUAGGCGGCGCGGUAAGUCGGGUGUGAAAUCUCGGGGCUUAACUCCGAAACUGCAUUCGAUACUGCCGUGCUUGAGGACUGGAGAGGAGACUGGAAUUUACGGUGUAGCGGUGAAAUGCGUAGAUAUCGUAAGGAAGACCAGUGGCGAAGGCGGGUCUCUGGACAGUUCCUGACGCUGAGGCACGAAGGUCAGGGGAGCAAACGGG
rnacentral:rRNA from 1 species